ensembl:antisense 4930445N08Rik RIKEN cDNA 4930445N08 gene
GAGUAUCUUCCGCGCUAGUGUAGGCUGUCGGUCCUCGGGGCACCACAGGGCAUGGCAGGAAGGUUGUCCUAUCACCCAGUCAUGGGUUAUGCAGAAGCACUCAAGAGCACUAGCCUUGCAAAACUACAGUUCCAAGGACUGCAUGUGAUAUUUGAAAUGUAUGUUUUAUGAACUCUUAAAGAAAUACCACACAUAAUCUCUGCUUAUAUUGUAACAUACUAUAAACAACUGGUAUAAUGUUUACCUCAUGGGUGCUGUUUGAACCAUAGAAGCUCUAUCCUUCAGAAUAAUUUAAAAUUAUUUUUUAAAUUAA